CAGAGCGGUUGGUUGCAGGCGAUGUUUGGAAGAAACAACAAAAAACAGGAGUUGUACUUGAACUCACUGCCCUCUAAAGCUAUAGUUGUCACAAGUCUACGGUGUAUGAUGUUUUACUUUACCGUUACAUUUAACUAGUAGUGGUUUUAAAAAAAAACACUAUGCUAAAAUGUGUUUUUUGGAUUUAGAUCAAAUGUUAUGGUUCUGAAUGUGAUAAAAAUACGCCUACAAGAUACCUACUGUAACAAAACAUGUAAAGAAUAUCACAUGAUGUCGGAGAUAUGUUAUGAUGAUGCUGGCUGCAAUCGCCUUAACUCCGAUCAGAAGAAAUGCGUUGCUAAGUGCAAUGAGAAAUCAGCAGAGCAUGCAUGCCAAUCGAGCUGCUCACACGCUUAUGAUAAAUGUAAGAAGAAAUGCAAGCACAAUAAUAGAUGUUUUUGUUACCUGUUUCAAAGGUGCCUACCAUCCGCCAGCGUAAAAAAAUAAACAGGAUAGGGAAAAAAAAAUUAAAAUUAUAAAUAAUUAUUGUUUUGAUAUAAUUUUAAAUAUUUUAUCCUACUUGCUGCUAAUUUAAGAAUAAAAAAAUGUUAUUUGUUGUUGUAUGUACGAUACAGGUAAUAAAAUCAGUGUUUGCUGUACUUGUGUAAUAGGAUAAUUUCAGCACACUACAAAAGCAAUAUUAUU